UGGAGCCUGCGGUUUAAUUGGACUCAACGCCGGGCAGCUCACCGGAUAAGACAGCUGGAUGAUAGCCGGGCUGAAGACUCUGCUUGACUAGCUGAGAGGAGGUGCAUGGCCGUCGUCAGUUCGUACUGUGAAGCAUCCUGUUAAGCCAGGCAACGAGCGAGACCCACGCCAACAGUUGCCAGCAUGUCCUCCGGGAUGAUGGGGACACUGUUGGGACCGCCUCUGCUAAAGAGGAGGAAGGAAUGGGCAACGGUAGGUCAGCAUGCCCCGAAUUAUCCGGGCUACACGCGGGCUACAAUGGUCAGGACAAUGGGUAUCGACACCGAGAGGUGGAGGCAAUCUCCUAAACCUGUCCUUAGUUCGGAUUGUGGGCUGCAACUCGCCCACAUGAAGCUGGAAUCCGUAGUAAUCGCGUUUCAAAAUAGCGCGGUGAAUAUGUCCCUGCUCCUU
rnacentral:rRNA from 1 species